GGAGGUGAAAGACGUGAGGGAUGAUGGAGGUGGUUGUGGAUACUUUAGUAAAGGUGUGGUGGAGGUGAUUGUGGAUACGACAAUGGAGAUGGAGGAUGUGGUGGAGAUGGUUGUAGAUGCGAUUGUGGUGGUUAUGGAAAAGGAGGUAGUGGAUACAGAGAUGAAAAACGUGAGAGGUGGAUACGGUGGUGGUGCAUGUGGCUACUCUGAGAGAAGAAGGUGGUGAUAGAUACGGUAAAUGUAAAAAAAUGUCCACAUACCCAAAAAAAUAUCUAAAAAACAUUUACGUGAAUAUGAAAAAGUUGUUCAUGAAAAUAGUAUCCACAUAACUAUAUGCAUAAAUAUUUUAUUUAAACACAAAAAAUCAACACUCACCGCAAGAUCCAAAUCUAAACACAUCUACAACAACUUAGCUGAAGGGUACAUUUGUCCAAA
rnacentral:lncRNA from 1 species